AAAGCGGUCGCGCAGUUUUUGUCGUCGAGUCAAAGUGCGCGGAUCGCUCGAGGAGCGAAACUCUCUAUAUUCCUGCCAAAAUUCAAUUAAAUAUUUGUUAAGUGCAAGUUUAGGUGUUAGUUGUUGUUGCCGCGUUGCCAAGUUCGUAAGCAGGUGCAAAGGUGCCAAAGUGAGCUAAUAACAAAACAAGUCUGCCAGUUUUAGUUGGAAAGCAAAGCGGAAAAGAUGGGAAAGUUCGAGUAUUCACUGGGUCUCAAUGAGCUCAAGUCCAAGGAGCUGCGUUUGUGGCAGGCCCUGAUCGGAGAGUUCCUGGGCAAUCUGAUCCUCAAUUUCUUUGCCUGCGGUGCAUGCACUCAAAUUGAGGAUGGAACCUUUAAGGCCCUGGCUUUUGGCCUGGCCAUCUUCAUGGCCAUAACGAUUGUUGGCCACUUGAGUGGCGGACAUGUGAAUCCUGCUGUUACCGCUGGCAUGUUGGUUGCUGGACGAAUCAGCGUGAUCAGAGCGUUCUUCUAUGUCAUAUUCCAGUGUCUGGGUUCCAUUGCUGGAACGGCAGCUGUUAAGACCCUCAUCGAUGCCGACUACUACAAUGGCUUGGGUCACACCUCGUUGGCGAACAACAUCACGGAACUGCAGGGCCUGGGAAUCGAGUUCUUCCUGGGACUUCUGCUGGUUCUCGUUGUCUUCGGAGCCUGUGAUCCCAACAAGCCCGACUCUCGUUACACGGCACCCCUGGCCAUUGGCAUGGCAGUGACUUUGGGUCAUUUGGGUACCAUUCGGUACACCGGAGCCAGCAUGAAUCCAGCCCGUACAGUGGGCACUGCCUUUGCCACCGAUAUCUGGACAUCUCACUGGGUAUACUGGGUGGGACCAGUGCUGGGAGGUGUGGCUGCUGCCCUGCUGUACACACAGGUCCUGGAGGCGAAACCAGUGCCGAAGGUGAACGAGGCAUCGGAGAAGUACCGAACGCACGCCGAUGAACGUGAGGUGAGAGUCAGGUUGAUAAGCGCAUGGAGCGAGGAGUCAUUCUACUGAUCAGUGAUCACAGAUCAAUGAUCUCAUCUAUUCAUUACACACACACACACACAUAGAAACACCUCUCACACACUCACUAACUGCAUUAUGCGCAAACUGGAGGGAGCCCGCGACUAUGCCUAAGUCUAAGGAUAUCAAAGCGACUCGAAUCUAGAAAUAGAGAGAGGGAGAGAGUGGAGAUUUAUUCGUUUAAUCCAUUCAUUUCAGUGUCUAUCAUAUACUUAUGUCGUGUACUUCCCCGUUCGUGCGUAUUUAUGUAUUUAUGUAUUUAUUCAUGAAAAGUUCAUUUUUUAAUUAACUAAUAUGUAAACGUGUAAGCUGCCCCAAAAAAAAAAAAGAAAUGCAAUCUACAAAGCUAAAUUACUUGUACUCUCAAGCGUUCACAAUAAAGUGGAAAACAUUAACUGAAAA